rnacentral:rRNA from 1 species
UACGUAGGGUGCGAGCGUUGUCCGGAUUUAUUAGGCGUAAAGGGCUCGUAGGCGGCCUGUCGCGUCGGGAGUGAAAGCCCACUGCUUAACGGUGGGUCUGCUUCCGGUACGGGCGGGCUGGAGUAUGGCAGGGGAGACUGGAAUUCCUGGUGUAGCGGUGAAAUGCGCAGAUAUCAGGAGGAACACCGGUGGCGAAGGCGGGUCUCUGGGCAGUAACUGACGCUGAGGAGCGAAAGCGUGGGGAGCGAACAGG